ACAGCAGUCGCCGCGGUAAUACGUAGGGUGCAAGCGUUAAUCGGAAUUACUGGGCGUAAAGCGUGCGCAGGCGGUUAUAUAAGACAGAUGUGAAAUCCCCGGGCUCAACCUGGGAACUGCCUUUGUGACUGCAAGGCUAGAGUACGGCAGAGGGGGAUGGAAUUCCGCGUGUAGCAGUGAAAUGCGUAGAUAUGCGGAGGAACACCGAUGGCGAAGGCAAUCCCCUGGGCCUGUACUGACGCUCAUGCACGAAAGCGUGGGGAGCAAACAGGAUUAGAUACCCCUGUAGUCCCUGUCUCUUAUAC
rnacentral:rRNA from 1 species